rnacentral:rRNA from 1 species
GUGAGGAAUAUUGGUCAAUGGAGGCAACUCUGAACCAGCCAAGUAGCGUGCAGGACGACGGCCCUACGGGUUGUAAACUGCUUUUAUGCGGGGAUAAACGGCAUUACGUGUAGUGCUUUGCAGGUACCGCAUGAAUAAGGACCGGCUAAUUCCGUGCCAGCAGCCGCGGUAAUACGGAAGGUCCGGGCGUUAUCCGGAUUUAUUGGGUUUAAAGGGAGCGCAGGCGGCACUUCAAGCGUGACGUUAAAUUUCGGGGCUCACCCCCGUUUUGCGUCGCGAACUGUUGUGCUUGAGUAGGCGGCAGGGAGGCGGAAUUCGCGGUGUAGCGGUGAAAUGCUUAGAUAUCGCGAGGAACUCCGAUAGCGCAGGCAGCCUCCCGUUGCUUUACUGACGCUCAUGCUCGAAGGUGCGGGUAUCGAACAGG